rnacentral:rRNA from 1 species
ACUGCAUACGAGUGAGAAUGCCGGAAUAAGUAGCGAGAAUUAUGUGAGAAUCAUAAUGGCCGAAAAUCUAAGGUUUCUUGGGGAAGGUUCGUCCGCCCAAGGUUAGUCGGGAGCUAAGCUCAGGCCGAAAGGCGUAGGCGAUGCACAUACGGUAGAAAUUCCGUAACCACCGAACAUUUAAGCUAGAGGGACGCUUUCUUUAAGGUUAUCCCGGGCGAUGGUUGCCCCGGGCGUAAGGGACCGAAAUUUAGUAGGGAAGUAACUGGCGAGAGAGACGAGAAAAGCUCUAGUGUAUACUAAGGUGCCCGUACCGCAAACCGACACAGGUAGAAGGGAUGAGUAUUCUAAGGCCAACGGGAGAAGGGUUGUUAAGGAACUCGGCAAAUUGGCCCCGUAACUUCGGGAUAAGGGGCGCCUGCGAGAGCAGGCCGCAGUGAAAAGGCCCAAGCGACUGUUUAGCAAAAACACAGCUCUCUGCUAAAUCGAAAGAUGACGUAUAGGGGGUGACGCCUGCCCGGUGCUGGAAGGUUAAGGGGAGUGCUUAGCGCAAGCGAAGGUGCGAACUUAAGCCCCAGUAAACGGCGGCCGUAACUAUAACGGUCCUAAGGUAGCGAAAUUCCUUGUCAGGUAAGUUCUGACCCGCACGAAUGGCGUAACGAUUUGGGCACUGUCUCAACAGCCCGCCCGGCGAAAUUGUAGUACCGGUGAAGAUGCCGGUUUCCCGCAACUAGACGGAAAGACCCCAUGGAGCUUCACUGUAGCUUGAUAUUGGAUCUCGGUAUUCCAUGUACAGGAUAGGUGGGAGGCUAGGAAGCGAGCGCGCCAGCGUUCGUGGAGCCAACCUUGGGAUACCACUCUUGGGAUAUUGGGAUUCUAACCUGCGACCAUGAAUCUGGUCGGGGGACACUGUCAGGUGGGCAGUUUGACUGGGGCGGUCGCCUCCAAAAGAGUAACGGAGGCGCUCAAAGGUUCGUUCAGCACGGACGGAAAUCGUGCACUGAGUGUAAACGCAUAAACGAGCCUAACUGCGAGAAUGACGGUUCGAGCAGUAACGAAAGUUGGAGUUAGUGAUCCGGCGGUAUGUGAAUGGAAAUGCCGUCGCUCAACGGAUAAAAGCUACCCUGGGGAUAACAGGCUGAUCUCCCCCAAGAGUCCACAUCGACGGGGAGGUUUGGCACCUCGAUGUCGGCUCAUCGCAUCCUGGGGCUGAAUUCGGUCCCAAGGGUUUGGCUGUUCGCCAAUUAAAGCGGUACGCGAGCUGGGUUCAGAACGUCGUGAGACAGUUCGGUCCCUAUCUGUUGCGGGCGCAGGAAUAUUGAGAGGAGCUGUCCUUAGUACGAGAGGACCGGGAUGGACGUACCGCUGGUGCACCAGUUGUUCUGCCAAGGGCAUAGCUGGGUAGCUAAGUACGGACGAGAUAAACGCUGAAGGCAUCUAAGCGUGAAACUCCCCUCGAGAUAAGUGUUCCCAUCCUUCGGGAGUAAGGCCCCUUGUAGACUACAAGGUUGAUAGGUCAGGAGUGGAAGUGCAGUAAUGUAUGGAGCGGACUGAUACUAAUAGGCCGAGGGCUUGACCU